rnacentral:rRNA from 1 species
UGGAGGAAAGCAGGGGAUCGUAAGACCUUGCGCUUUUGGAGCGGCCGAUGUCUGAUUAGCUAGUUGGUGGGGUAAUGGCCUACCAAAGCUUCGAUCAGUAGCUGGUCUGAGAGGACGGCCAGCCACACUGGGACUGAGACACGGCCCAGACUCCUACGGGAGGCAGCAGUGGGGAAUUUUGGACAAUGGGCGCAAGCCUGAUCCAGCCGUGCCGCGUGAGUGAAGAAGGCCUUCGGGUUGUAAAGCUCUUUCAGCCGGGAAGAAAAGGCUGCGACUAAUAAUCGCAGUUCAUGACGGUACCGGAAGAAGAAGCACCGGCUAACUACGUGCCAGCAGCCGCGGUAAUACGUAGGGUGCGAGCGUUAAUCGGAAUUACUGGGCGUAAAGGGUGCGCAGGCGGUUUUGUAAGUCAGAUGUGA